GCCGGACAUGGAGGCGGUGAUGACGAGGGAACCGCUUCCGCGCUCCUUGAAGUGGUGGCCGACGGCCUUGGCGCAGUGGAAGGUACCGUUCAGGUCGAUCUGGACGACGUGGUUCCAGGCCUCGACGGAGCCGUCGAGGAUGCCAGAGUCGGCGGUGGCACCGGCGUUGGCGAUGAAGGCAUCGAUCUGGCCGAAGUCGGCAACGACGUCCUUGACGAGCUUCUCGCAGGACUCGUAGCUGUCAACCUGGC
rnacentral:misc_RNA from 1 species